GAGGCCCUCAGCGUCGUAAAAUAGAGCGGUUGCCAAUACUUCCUGAUUUUAUAACAGAGUUGCAGUCUUCCUGGAAGGCCCCUAGUUCUACGGCCCUCCCUAGGACACAACUGGGCAAUCUGGCAGGGGCAGUAACUUAUGGGCUUGUUACAGCUCCUCAGAUCAGACCCACGUUUGCUAUGUUGACUGGGGCUACGGCCAGGACUGGAAGGGAUGCUACACACCCUAACAAGCUUGGUAGAAUAAUUGACAGUCAGCUGCGGAAAGCCUAUCAGGCCUCGGCCUUGUCGGCAAGACUUGCAUGCACAAACUCUCUCCUCUUGGUUUAUUUAGAGGGUCUGCUGCAGGAUUUGUCCUCCACUUUGACAGAGGGGGAAAACAUCCCAGAAACAUUGCGAGUGGUUGAUAUGCUGAUCCGAGGAACAAGUGCGCACGCCCAAGCCCUGGAGCAAUCCAUAGCCCAUGCAGAAGCAGCUUUGGAGCAGUCUCGUAGAACAAGAGAACUGACUCGAUCAGUGGUUAGAGCACCAGCUACUCGUGGGCAACGCACAUCAGCUGGGAGCAGUAAUUGGGCUCGGGCAGAAUCAGCAAACCAGGCCUUCAUAGGUCAGCGCCGGUCUGCUGCCCAAGGUGCACCCAUAAGACCAAGCCAAGGAGUCCGGCAGUCCUUUCGUAGGACACGACAGCCAGAGUCUUCCAGCACACGUGCAAAAGGAGGGAGGAACCGUUACUGGCGGUUAUCAGCCUCUGGCCCCACAUUUUUCCAGUCAACAUCUCUUCCACUGGCGCCAAUGCACUCAAUGUCCAUGGGCGCUGAGCACCUUGGAGCUCGGAUACAGGCUCCAAUUCAAAUCCAAGCCACCCCAAUUUCAAAGGAUUGUUCCUACUGUUUUGAGAGAAGAGACACAGUGCAGGUCUCUGACAGACGAGGUCUCAGUUCUUUUAGGAAAAGGAGCAAUAACACGCCUGCCCCCGGGUUCGAUAGGGCAGGGGUUUUAUUCUACCUAUUUCCUGAUUCCAAAGAAAGAUGGGGGUCUUCGGCCCAUCCUGAAUCUCAGGAAGUUCAAUCAUCAUUUAAAGCGACUGCCCUUCCGCAUGCUUUGUCUUUCAACCCUUUUAACCUUCAUCAGACAAGGGGAUUGGUUCACAACAGUGGAUCUCCAAGAUGCCUAUUUCCACAUCCCAAUUCACAAAAACCACAGGAAGUACCUCAGGUUCUAUUUUCAGGGCAACGCUUACGAGUACAAUGUUCUCCCCUUCGGUCUGUCAUUGGCUCCCCGCACCUUCACCAAAUGUAUGGAUGCGGCACUCAUUCCUCUACGUCGUCAAGGCAUACGUAUUGCCAAUUACCUGGACGAUUGGGUAAUUUGCUCUCCUACAGAGCAACAGGCCAGGAGCAACACAAAGGUGGUCCUUGGCCACUUGAAGAAAUUGGGGCUGACUCUGAACAGCAAAAAGAGUUGUCUCACUCCCACAAGGGUAGCGACAUACCUAGGCUUGAGUUUGAAUUCAAUUAUAAUGAGAG
rnacentral:lncRNA from 1 species